rnacentral:rRNA from 1 species
GUACACGCUGUGACUAGCAUAUCAAUAAGCGGAGGAAAAGAAACUAACAAGGAUUCCCUUAGUAACGGCGAGUGAAGCGGGAAGAGCUCAAAUUUGAAAUCUUCAAGGUUUUACCUUGACGAAUUGUAGUUUAAAGAAGUGUUUUCUGCUGAAGUUUUGGUAAAAGUUCUUUGGAAUAGGACAUCAUAGAGGGUGAGAAUCCCGUAUUUGACCAUUAUUUACAGCUUUGUGACUACACUUUCAAAGAGUCGGAUUGUUUGGGAACGCAGUCCAAAAUGGGUGGUAAAUUUCAUCUAAAGCUAAAUAUUGGCGAGAGACCGAUAGCGAACAAGUACCGUGAGGGAAAGAUGAAAAGAACUUUGAAAAGAGAGUUAAACAGUACGUGAAAUUGUCAAAAGGGAAGCGUUUGACACCAGUGUUGUUUUCUCGAAAAUCAAUUAAAAAUGGCUCGAUUUUGUAUUGCUGAGACCUUAAAAGCUCACUGUACAUUUUUCGUGUCUUUUUUAAUGCACUUUUCGUUUAACAAGUCAACAUCAGUUUCUUUUGUUGUAAAAGGGUCAUUGGAAGGUGGCUUUCUUUUCGGAGAAAGUGUUUAUAGCCUUUGGCCUCUGCAAUCGGAGAGACUGAGGUCUGCAGCGUAGACUCUUCGGGGUUAGAUACAUUUGUGCUAAGUUAUAGCUUUUUAUAGACAACUUGUUGACUAUAAUUAGUCUUGUAGCUUACUCGCUUAUGCUAUUUUACCUACGCUUAGGAGUUGAUCUACAGAGCGAGAGU